rnacentral:rRNA from 1 species
GAUGAACGCUGGCGGCGUGCCUAAUACAUGCAAGUCGAGCGAACAGACGAGGAUUUUGCUCCUCUGACGUUAGCGGCGGACGGGUGAGUAACACGUGGAUAACCUACCUAUAAGACUGGGAUAACUUCGGGAAACCGGAGCUAAUACCGGAUAAUAUAUUGAACCGUAUGGUUCAUUAGUGAAAGACGGUUUUGCUGUCACUUAUAGAUGGUUCCAGGCCGGAUUAGCUAGUUGGUAAGGUAACGGCUUACCAAGGCGAGGAUGCGUAGCCGACGUGAGAGGGUGAUCGGCCACACUGGAACUGAGACACGGUCCAGACUCCUACGGGAGGCAGCAGUAGGGAAUCUUCCGCAAUGGGCGAAAGCCUGACGGAGCAACGCCGCGUGAGUGAUGAAGGUCUUCGGAUCGUAAAACUCUGUUAUUAGGGAAGAACAGAUGUGUAAGUAAAUAUGCACGUCUUGACGGUACCUAGUCAAAAAGCCACGGCUAACUACGUG